rnacentral:rRNA from 1 species
UACCCCGACAAGAGGAGAAGAGGAAAGGUUUUUCGUUUCAAUACGUGGUCAUAACGUCGUAAUUGUGAGGUCGAAUAUCACCGUUGUAAUCGUCGAGGUUAUCGGAACGCACCAACGGGCCUCCAUACACCGUCGUAUCGACAGGGGAUGGGAAAGCCGGAGGCCGUUCCCACGAAGGCGCGCCCGAAGUUGGAGUGCACGCUGCUAUGCGUGGUCGGUGGCUUCGACAACCACCCACUACCGAACCUUCACCAACUAUAAAGAGAGUGCCUACCAUGCCACGCCUAGGUGUCGUUCUACCACUCAUAGACCGACUUGUGUUCGAGAUUAGUUAGUCUACCGUACACCAGGCGACCGGACUGCCUACUCCCGGGGGACUCUCACAGGUAGCCAGUGUUGGCCAAGCAACGAUACCCUACGUUACAGAAUCGGUCGGAGAAACGGAGAAAACCGCUGAUAGAAUCACAGACACGGCACAUAACACGACUGCCUGGCCCCCACUCGCUGUGGAGUACAAGACCACAACCGACGACGGUCUGUGGGUAGCGUGCCGAUCUAAAGGGCAGGAUACAGAAGGUCAAACCACGAAACUUGGUCUCUUGGCCACUAAGCAACCCUAUACCUCGCCACAAGUAUCGACUGGUUCUCACCAACCGGUCUCUCCCUGGGUACGACGUCAACUUAAUGAAACUGUUGGGUGUAUUCUAACAACUAAGGUGAAACUAGGGUUGCCACCAUCUUACCAGUGAAGUACACCCUAUACUGCCCGUUAACAUGACCCCUACCCUACUGAAACUGAAUAUACUUGUGUCCCCUAGGUAUUCACAUUUGACGAAGUAUCAGCGUCUACCAGAAAUAUAGGCUUGCCGUCUACCAGAAAUAUAGGUUUUCCGUGCCACGUUGACGAGGUUUCCUAUGCUCCCGUUGGGAAUGUAGCGUUUACCUACGGUUCUAUAACUACUCACGGUUGCCGGUCUAUAAAUAGGUACGGUACCUUGGACGUAGUUACACGGCCCCUGCAUGGCUACGGAACGUUUCUUUCCAUAGUGCUCGGAGGGUCCAGACUAAUGACAUUAACGUUAAUCACGACCAAGACCGUAUGACAAACGUGAAGACCCAUAACGGUUUUAGUGGUUAUUUGAGUUCGUUGCUUCUCGGUUCUUCAACUCUGUUUUCAAGAAGUUCUUUUUAGUACCUAACGAAGACGUUGUCGAUUAGAGAAGUUUGUUUCUGUAUCGUCUUUCUUGCUCCUAAAAGUCGAACCUUCUCGACCUCGUUCGUUGGUUGUUUAAACUGGUCUUAGCGUAGGAACCACCGCCACCGGUACCGUGACAGAUGUUUCCGUAGAAUAGACUAGUUGUACACCACCGGUAGUUCUUCCGAUUUUAACAUCAAGUUUCCCUUUAGCUGGUCAAGUAUUUACUCCAACAGUAUGAAAGUGUCUGUUUGGUAUCCUUACACCACUUAGAAAAACCAACGACGGAACUCUGUCUUCAAGGAGAUGAACAAAUGCUCAAAUAUAGUUUACCUUGAGAGAGUAAAGUAGAGGUACCGGUUUCACUCUUCGGAAACAGUACCUUUCUAUCUAACUUUUAACGUAACCUCUGACGUUCCCGAUAACGUAUAGACGUGAGACGACGAAGGUAUAGUCAUAUGGUAUCUCUAUAGUUUACGCGUUUAUAUAACGAAUGACUAUGAAAUUGUCGUUUUCAUAGUCUAAAACCUCGAAGUUCCAGUUAACGUUAUCUACUCUGUCCUUAUGAAUGUCGGCAGGUUCCUUGAAUACCAAUGGAACUAGGACUUAUGAUGAUAUGGUCAGCUGAGUGCCUCUUCUCGCUACAAAUGUCGAAACCACAAUAGGAUCGUCUCGAUGACUGCUCCCACUGUGGUCAAAAAAGAAGAGUAAGCAACCUUUCGUGUUCGGAACGUAGUGUAAAACACAGUGAAUAUUCCCUGUUAGCUAAGAAUCUAUAAGAUCUAUGUGUUUAACAACUCCUCCCUCCCCGGCUUCUACGACUCCACCAACGUUCUGAGUGUCUUCGUACGAAUGCAAAUUUUCCACUUCUUUCCGGAUGUUACUCUGUUCACCUCUGUUGUGAACUUCUACACGUCUUGAAUUUCCAGUUAGAGUCAAGAGUAUAGUGUUCUCUCUUGGUCUUACGAUAUUUACUAGUCAGUAUGUUCCCUUCGUUUCCAUCGCUUCCUUGAUCCGACAUGUCGAACCUUUUUCUCAAGUUGGUUAGUAGACUUUAAGGUUCUACU